AAGAAAGGUGUGUUUAAUUGCUUGGAUCGCAGAUGGGGAGGGGUGCUGACAGCCAGGAACCUGAGAAAGCAAAGGAUCACACAAGUCAAUUGUCUGCUGGUGCUUCAUGUGAAAUGUGCUACUUCCUGUUACAUUGCAAUAGGCAACACAGCUGUGGUGGGAGUGUCAAAUUAGUCCAGAUUACAGUGAAUGAUGCCAAGCACACAGCUGGGAUGUUCUUCAUUAGCACUAAUGUGGAUCUAUAGGAAACAGGUAUAUGAGAGCUUAAAUGAUGUAAAAACUGACUUUGCACAUAUGAGGAAUGCAUUGUGUUUCUAACUUUGUGCAUCCAUGAGGUUCCGG
rnacentral:misc_RNA from 1 species